rnacentral:tRNA from 1 species
GCCUCGGUGGUAUAGUGGUCAAGACGCUUGUCUGGUAAACAGAAAGGCGUAGGUUCAAUCCCAGCCGAGGUA